rnacentral:rRNA from 1 species
AUGCAGUCGACGGUGAACCCUUUCGAGGGUGGAUCAUGGCGAACGGGUGAGUAACACGUGAGCAACCUGCCCCCUACUUCGGGAUAAGCCUUGGAAACGGGGUCUAAUACCGGAUAUGAGCGCCUGCCGCAUGGUGGGUGUUGGAAAGUUUUUCGGUGGGGGAUGGGCUCGCGGCCUAUCAGCUUGUUGGUGGGGUAAUGGCCUACCAAGGCGUCGACGGGUAGCCGGCCUGAGAGGGCGACCGGCCACACUGGGACUGAGACACGGCCCAGACUCCUACGGGAGGCAGCAGUGGGGAAUAUUGCACAAUGGGCGAAAGCCUGAUGCAGCGACGCCACGUGAGGGAUGACGGCCUUCGGGUUGUAAACCUCUUUCAGCAGGGAAGAAGCGUGAGUGACGGUACCUGCAGAAGAAGCGCCGGCUAACUACGUGCCAGCAGCCGCGGUAAUACGUAGGGCGCAAGCGUUGUCCGGAAUUAUUGGGCGUAAAGAGCUCGUAGGCGGUCUGUCGCGUCUGGUGUGAAAUCCCAUGGCUCAACUGUGGGCUUGCAUCGGGUACGGGCAGACUAGAGUGCUGUAGGGGAGACUGGAAUUCCUGGUGUAGCGGUGGAAUGCGCAGAUAUCAGGAGGAACACCGAUGGCGAAGGCAGGUCUCUGGGCAGUUACUGACGCUGAGGAGCGAAAGCAUGGGGAGCGAACAGGAUUAGAUACCCUGGUAGUCCAUGCCGUAAACGUUGGGCACUAGGUGU